rnacentral:rRNA from 1 species
AUUGAACGCUGGCGGCAUGCUUUACACAUGCAAGUCGAACGGUAACAGGGUGCUUGCACCGCUGACGAGUGGCGAACGGGUGAGUAAUGCGUCGGAACGUGCCGAGUAGUGGGGGAUAACGCAGCGAAAGUUGUGCUAAUACCGCAUACGUACUGAGGUAGAAAGUGGGGGACCUUCGGGCCUCACGCUAUUCGAGCGGCCGACGUCUGAUUAGCUAGUAGGUGAGGUAAAGGCUCACCUAGGCGACGAUCAGUAGCGGGUCUGAGAGGAUGAUCCGCCACACGGGGACUGAGACACGGCCCAGACUCCUACGGGAGGCAGCAGUGGGAAUUUUGGACAAUGGGCGAAAGCCUGAUCCAGCCAUGCCGCGUGUCUGAAGAAGGCCUUCGGGUUGUAAAGGACUUUUGUCAGGGAGGAAAUCCCUAGUGCUAAUAACACUGGGGGAUGACAGUACCUGAAGAAUAAGCACCGGCUAACUACGUGCCAGCAGCCGCCGUAA